rnacentral:rRNA from 1 species
AUAACACUUGGAAACAGGUGCUAAUACCGCAUAACCAUAGUUACCGCAUGGUAACUAUGUAAAAGGUGGCUAUGCUACCGCUUUUGGAUGGGCCCGCGGCGCAUUAGCUAGUUGGUGGGGUAAAGGCUUACCAAGGCAAUGAUGCGUAGCCGAACUGAGAGGUUGAUCGGCCACAUUGGGACUGAGACACGGCCCAAACUCCUACGGGAGGCAGCAGUAGGGAAUCUUCCACAAUGGGCGAAAGCCUGAUGGAGCAACGCCGCGUGGGUGAAGAAGGUCUUCGGAUCGUAAAACCCUGUUGUUAGAGAAGAAAGUGCGUGAGAGUAACUGUUCACGUUUCGACGGUAUCUAACCAGAAAGCCACGGCUAACUACGUGCCAGCAGCCGCGGUAAUACGUAGGUGGCAAGCGUUAUCCGGAUUUAUUGGGCGUAAAGGGAACGCAGGCGGUCUUUUAAGUCUGAUGUGAAAGCCUUCGGCUUAACCGGAGUAGUGCAUUGGAAACUGGGAGACUUGAGUGCAGAAGAGGAGAGUGGAACUCCAUGUGUAGCGGUGAAAUGCGUAGAUAUAUGGAAGAACACCAGUGGUGAAAGCGGCUCUCUGGUCUGUAACUGACGCUGAGGUUCGAAAGCGUGGGUAGCAAACAGGAUUAGAUACCCUGGUAGUCCACGCCGUAAACGAUGAAUGCUAAGUGUUGGAGGGUUUCCGCCCUUCAGUGCUGCAGCUAACGCAAUAAGCAUUCCGCCUGGGGAGUACGACCGCAAGGUUGCAACUCAAAUGAAUUGACGGA